UUGCUCAGGGGGGUGAUUUAUUCACCCCCCUGAGUGACAUAAAUUAUGCUGACAUAAGCCAUAGUAUAGGCAUUGCCUAAAUCUUUUCAGAAAGAUGAUAGCACCAUUCUAUUAUUUUAGAAAGAAAGAAACAAACAAACAAACAAACUGAAUAGUUCCAAUGCUGCAAGCAUGUAUUCCCAGGCAUAGUUCAUACUACUGUGACUUCAGUGGGACUGUCUAUGUUAUCUACCCGCAUGACAUACAACCACAAAGUAUCGAAAUGCUUAUUACCUACAGACUGCUCACAGUAGUAGGGACUACAGGUAAGUGAGUGUUUGCAGCAUCAGACCCUAAGAACCCACUGGAACUACUCUACUCGUGUGAAAAAGCAAGCAUGUAAAAAUGUUUGGAGGAUCAGGACAUAAGGAAGCACUUGGGGAUCUUGCCUGUUACUAAUAAACAUACAUCUAUCAUUAUCACUUUCGUUUUGUUGUUUAUAUUGCACUCACCUGAGGCCCCAUUGUGCUAGGCACUGAAUAAACAUAUUGCAAAUUACAUUUCCUGCCUCAGAAAGCUAACAAGCUAAGGCCCCAAUCCUGUCAUGGGCAAUGACUGCACAGAGCCUCAUUGAAGUUAGCAGGGCUCUGGGCUGGCACAACCGGAGCAGGGCCUAAAUGAGCAGUUAUAAUCUGAAAGCUUCUAAGGUAAUGGUAAAAGUCAGUCAACUGCAGCAUGUAAGAAAUACCAUGUCAAUACCUGCCCAUCAUUUGCUUGCUAUCUCCUUUCCACGGGCUUUUAUUCAUCUCUGUACUGCCCUCCAAUAUACCUUUCCAGCUAAAGACACAGUCAAGUGGACAGGGUUUGGUUUUGUUUUUCUUUUCACCCAACGCUUUUGUAUAUUUCUGAAACUUAAGCCACCGCAUAUACUACUACAGUACUUAUCUGUAACACCAUCGCUUUGAGGGAUUAAAGCAGGUUACUUGUUACACACUUAGAUCAAGCGUUAUCUGAGUAGAGAGUCUACUCCGUUAGGGAUGGCGGAAUCUGUUUUUGAUCUUGAGUUGUUUUGAUUUUCUUUGAGAGCGGUAACAUGUUAUUUUAACUUCUGAAUAAGGUGUGCUACCUGACUGAGUCUCUUCUCUUCUUUGGCAGAAAGGAUUAGAAACCUCCACUGAACUUGCAGUCUAUUAAAGCAGAGUGCUCUCCAUUGAGCAGCAAGGAACUGAAUUGUUUUCAGAUUACAUGUGUGUGUGUCUUUCCCACAUCAAAGACUUCGAUGGAAGCUGUUCACACUAUUGUCAGGAAUGCAGGGAUUGGCACAAAGAAACAAGAAUUGGGAAGGAAAACGCCAACAUCCCGAAAUCUCAAGUCAAAACCUCUCCAUCUGAUAAGUUCUGUCAGCUGCAAGCAAACUGAUUCACUGUCUAUCUUUCUCCAGGAUGUGUGGACUACCCUGUAGUGCUUGAUGCAAUAUUUGGAUGAGAACUCCAGCGAGAUCAGCUGUGCCACCCAGCAGACCUAGAGCUCUCAGAGCUCCACCUUGAGUGCAAAAGCCUUUCUGUUCUUUGGAAUGCAGAACGAGAGGAAAAAACUUUAGGCCAAUUUCCCCCCUGGAACAACUCUAAUGAAAUCAGUCAGGUAACAUCAGCGAUAAAUUUGGCCCUGUGCUUUUAGCUUUGCUCUGUGAUUGCAAUGGACUCACUGUUGAUAGUGUCUCUGAAUUAUUUGAAUUACAUAAAAAUGCAGUUAGAAAUUCAGAACAAACAUCCAGUGCAGAAUGCCUCAUAAUCCAGAGCACACGUUGCCUAAUGGUUACUGCAGGAGAACGGGAGUCUAGUCUCCCAGAUUCUGUUCUGAACCCUGACAUUGGUGUGAGUAUUGCAUGACAUGGGCAAGUCACAUUGCCUUUCACUGUCUCACUUUCCCCAUCUACAGAAUAUAACAAGAUUUACCACUUCACAGAGUGGUUGAGAGUCUUGAGAUUGUUUUAGUACCAUUGGGAUGAAAGUUCUUUUAAAAGGCAAAAAUAACCCAACUUUUCAAUAGGGCCAAAACCCAGCCUCUGCUGGUGCACAUGUGAUUGCAACCAGGACUUGCCAGUACUGACACCUACGCAUGUUUAUUCAAAUACCUGGGCAUGCAAGUCAUAGAAUCCUAAUGUGCGAGACCCAUUGGUCCAAUGGAUUUGCCCACAGGUGUUCGCGCAUGUCAAAUGUGCAUGCAGGUGUGUGCACAGGCGGACUUGCAUGAGCACAAGCAGAGCCAGGGUUCAAACAGCAGGGCCUUUGAGCCUUAACCUGACACUCCCCCUUUAAAAUCAGAGACACUGACAUCAAAGUUUGCCCCUCACCAGAAGAAACCGGCUAUUUUGCACCCUUCCAAGCUAUGUUUCUCAUCUCCCCACCAUUCCUACUGCCUUGUCUCUCUUGCUUUUUCUGACACUAUCCCUCCCGCUCCACUUCAAACCCUGGGAAAAACCUAGGAAAAGCAGCUUGCUGACUAAGGGGCCAUUUCGUUGCAUUGUGUUUUCCAGCUAGACCUGAACAGACUGAAAUCAAUUCAGCUCUCUCGCGCUCUCCCUCCCUCAUGUCUUUUUUUGUUUCUCUUAGAUUGUGCCCUCUGCCUUAAGAAAGCCCAGUUUAGUUACAGCCCCAUAGCAAUCAAGUGACCAGUAGUUUCUGUUUUUUGUAAAAACAGUGUCCUUUUCAUGGGAUUCAGGUUCCUCCUCACUUUGAAAUGCCCAUUGAGCAGGGGUAACAAUCUGCAGAAUCUUUGAUCAAUUCUUGUGUAUUCAUUUUAGAUAUUUCUAAUGGUCACAUCACCCGGAGAAAUAUGUGCUUUUGUACUAAUAUUAAAACAUUGUAUCAGCCAUCCAUUAUAUUACUGUUACUGAGACCAGAUUGAACAGAAGUACACACAAACAUCUGUGUCUGAUCUGUGUAGCUAUAUAUCCUGAGAAAUACGCUUAUUAUUGUUGAAGUCCAAGGGUUUCCAUUCCUUUUUGCAAUUCCUUCUAACUUUCUAAAGUUUUCAAUAUGAAAUUUUUCAGUCUUGAUCCCAUACCACAGUUAUGAAUGCAAUAUAGAAACAAGAAGAGAAUAAAAUAAGGUUUUUGGACGUUUGAACAAGCAUGGUUAAGCACAGUCCACCUGGUGCACUAAAUGAGGCCUGGUCCUGUGGAAAUAAUUAUAUGGGAUCAUAGAAUUAAGGGUUAUAUCCUAUUGCAUCCUCACAAUGGAACAGCAUCAAGGUUGCAUGUGCAACCUUAACUUUGUUGUCUCCUGAUUCUUUUGAGUGCUCAACUGGGCAAACUUUGUGUUUUCUUAGCGUAGAUUUUCUUUGUUCUUUUCCAAUGGAAUGUAGAUUUACGGGCAGACAUCCUCAGCGGGUGUAAAUUGGCACAAUUCCAUUGCAGUCGACAGACCCAAGCCCUUGACACCUGCUGAGGAUCUGAGCCAGAAAUGAGAUGUGUGCGCACGCCCGCAGCACUGAACUACUAUUCUAGCCCUAAUGACAAGAAGAGAGUGGGGGUUUUUAUAUAUAUAAUUAUUUCUUUUAAUUUAGAAGAAAAUAUUAAAAGUGUUUAUCCCCAGCCUUGAGUAUCUCUACCACUUCUUUAAGAAGAUACAUCCAGCAGCCACGCCUUACCAUAGAACAUAAAAUGAACAUAAGAACAGAAGAACGGCCGUACUCGGUCAGACCAAAGGUCCAUCCAGCCCAGUAUCCUGUCUGCCAACAGUG